rnacentral:tRNA from 1 species
GGCCGGUUAGCUCAGUGGUUUGAGCGUGAUGCUGGCAACAAGGACCAACACCGCGAUUGCGGGUUUGAUUCCCGCUCGGCCC